UUUCGCCCGCCGGCGACCGGCGCACGGGUGAGUAACACGUAUGCAACCUGGCCGCCACAGGGGGAUAACCCGCGGAAACGCGGCCUAAUACCCCGUGACGCCACCGGAGGGCAUCCUCCGGUGGCCAAAGGAGCGAUCCGGUGGCGGAUGGGCAUGCGGCGCAUUAGCUAGACGGCGGGGUGACGGCCCACCGUGGCGACGAUGCGUAGGGGUUCUGAGAGGAAGGUCCCCCACGUUGGAACUGAGACACGGUCCAAACUCCUACGGAAGGCAGCAG
rnacentral:rRNA from 1 species